rnacentral:rRNA from 1 species
AUUGAACGCUGGCGGCAUGCCUUACACAUGCAAGUCGAACGGUAACAGGUUAAGCUGACGAGUGGCGAACGGGUGAGUAAUGUAUCGGAACGUGCCCAGUCGUGGGGGAUAACUGCUAGAAAGAGCAGCUAAUACCGCAUACGACCUGAGGGUGAAAGCGGGGGAUCGCAAGACCUCGCGCGAUUGGAGCGGCCGAUAUCAGAUUAGGUAGUUGGUGAGGUAAAGGCUCACCAAGCCGACGAUCUGUAACUGGUCUGAGAGGACGACCAGCCACACUGGGACUGAGACACGGCCCAGACUCCUACGGGAGGCAGCAGUGGGGAAUUUUGGACAAUGGGCGCAAGCCUGAUCCAGCCAUGCCGCGUGCGGGAAGAAGGCCUUCGGGUUGUAAACCGCUUUUGUCAGGGAAGAAAAGGUUCUGGCUAAUACCUGGGACUCAUGACGGUACCUGAAGAAUAAGCACCGGCUAACUACGUG